ensembl:lncRNA
AUGACUCCCAGCACCGAAGCUGACCACGACCACGACGCCGAGCCCGGCACCCGGGAACCUGUUCCGGACGUGCCGCUCCCAACCAUGACUCCCAGCACCGAGGAGGCUGACCACGACCACGACCACGACCACGACCACGACCACGACCACGACGCCGAGCCCGGCACCCGGGAACCUGUUCCGGACGUGCCGCUCCCAACCAUGACUCCCAGCACCGAGGAGGCUGACCACGACCACGACCACGACCACGACCACGACCACGACGCCGAGCCCGGCACCCGGGAACCUGUUCCGGACGUGCCGCUCCCAACCAUGACUCCCAGCACCGAGGAGGCUGACCACGACCACGACCACGACCACGACCACGACCACGACGCCGAGCCCGGCACCCGGGAACCUGUUCCGGACGUGCCGCUCCCAACCAUGACUCCCAGCACCGAGGAGGCUGACCACGACCACGACCACGACCACGACCACGACCACGGUAGGGGCCCGUGUGCCUUGUGUCCUCUGCCCCUGGGAGCCCGCUGGGUUGCCGGGGCUCCUUGAGCGAGAACGGGCUUUCCUAUUGCCUCCGGGACCGGGAAGGUGUCGCCAUGCGAUUCCUUGUCCCGAAACGCUGGCCUGUGCUCUGGAGCUGCGGGGACGUCCUCGGGGCUCUGCCCGGGAAGGAUGUGCUCCCUGGGGAGAGAGGGGCCGCGGUGCGAGUCAGGCGCUCCGAGACGGGGCCGUGUGUCCUCCCGGGUGCUCUGGUUGGCUGCACGCUGCCUGGGCCUGUCCGCAGGUUGUGCGUUUCUCUGCGUGGUGGUCUGCUAACCCGUGCGGGAGGGGCGUAGGCUUCCCCGCCCCCCACGUCUGCUCCCGCCAUGACCCCGGGGGUCUGGUGCAGCACUCCCAGCCCGCAUGCCUGGCGUGGCCACGGAGGCUGCGAGUGCAGAAGCCUCAUGGGACCCGGCGUGGAGUGCCCCACUGCCCCUGGUGGCCCAGUGUGCGCAGCGGACUUAGGCGCGGGCACGCUGGGCUCCGCGAGGGUGGUGCUCUGUGCCUCUGCCUCUCCUGAGACGUCCUUGCCUUCCUCUUGGCGUUGGCUGGUCUCCGAGCUCCCGGGACAGCGUCCAGGAGGCGUGGCCGCUGCCUGAGGACAAGUCCUCGAUGUGCCCUCUGACGCUGGCACGAGCGUGUUCUGGACCCGGGCCGUGCCCCCAGGCAGCUGGGGAGUUGUCUGCCUUGUAGUGCGGCGGGCCACCAGGAGAAUCUGACCCAGUGUCCUGGAUGGGCCAGUUCCCAGUCGUGCGCUCGUGGCCCAGACCAGACCCGGGCUGGUGUGUGGAGCCAGCCACGCGGGCCCGUCUGUCCUCCGUGCCCUGAGUGGGCGCAGAUGAGAGAGGGCGCGGUUGCUCCGUCCGCUUUUCUCCCCUCUCGCCCCCAUGCGGGGAGCCGUCCAGCGAGGCCUGGCUGGACUGAGCCCGUGCCGGACACGGUGCUCCGUUGCCGUCCUGGAGGGCCCAGAGGAUUGCUCGAGGUGUGCCCACCAGGCCCCUCCCCUGAG